rnacentral:lncRNA from 1 species
GCAUGGCAGUCUGGUUGCAUCAAUCACAUCUGUGGGUGAAGGAUGAAGCAUGAAGAAGACAGCUGUGUUAGGGCUGGGGCCAGGGCCCUGGAGCACUGCAGGCUCAGAGCAGCAGACAGCUGAGGAGGUAACUGAGAGCAGUGGCAACAGGAACAGGACAAGAGGAGGUGAAGAAAGCCCUGCAGACGUGUGGGCCAGCACAAGGAUGACUAAAGAGUGCACUUCAGUGAAGGAAGGAGCUAAGAGAAAGAAAGAUAAAGAUCCCAGAGAGACAAAGUGGAAAACCCAGAUCACCAGUAACUGUUGUUGGCCCAGAGAA